UACGGAGGGGGCAAGCGUUGUUCGGAAUUACUGGGCGUAAAGGGGGCGUAGGCGGUUUGUUAAGUCAAAUGUGAAAGUCCACGGCUUAACUGUGGAAGUGCAUUUGAGACUGUCAGGCUAGAGUUUCGGAAGGGAAAGUGGAAUUCCUGGUGUAGGAGUGAAAUCCGUAGAUAUCAGGAGGAAUACCGGUGGCGAAGGCGACUUUCUGGACGAAUACUGACGCUGAGGCCCGAAAGCGUGGGGAGCAAACAGG
rnacentral:rRNA from 1 species